AAACAGCAAAGAACACACCCCUGGCGUGUUCCAGAAAUCCAGAAAACACCCAGGGUGUGUUCCACACGGCAUAACAGAGGCCGGCAGGGUGUUUCCUACCGGUCCAGACGGAAGAGUGCCCAUGAUGUGCUUUUUUUUCCAGUCCAGAGUCAAUCCAGAUCUUCCUAUUUUGGACAAGCUAGUACAGCUGGAGUUUCAUUUUCCAAUUCUAAGUUGGAUUUAUUUUGGCUUCCUAUUUCAUGUAGGAUUUCAUUAUUACUUCCUAUUCCAUUUAGGACUUUAGUUAUUUCAUAUUUUAUUUAGGUUUCCUAAGGUUUUUUAGUUUAUCUAAACUUCCUAGAAAGU
rnacentral:misc_RNA from 1 species